rnacentral:rRNA from 1 species
UACGGAAGGGGCAAGCGUUGUUCGGAAUCAUUGGGCGUAAAGGGCGCGCAGGUGGCUCUGUAUGUCUGCCGUGAAAGCAUACAGCUCAACUGUAUUGUGUCGGUAGAAAACUGCAGGACUUGAGGCUGGGAGGGGCUGGUGGAAUUCCCUGUGUAGCGGUGAAAUGCGUAGAGAUGGGGGAGAACACUCGUGGCGAAGGCGGCCAGCUAGACCAGUUCUGACACUGAGGCGCGACAGCGUGGGGAGCAAACAGG